rnacentral:lncRNA from 1 species
GGACGAGAUAUACCGUAAACAGCUGUCGUAUUGCCAAGUAACGUAGUUGGUAGGAGUAAUUGACGUACUGGUGGGACUUCGAGCAUAACCAUAAGUCGUGUGUGGACAUUGGCAAAGAGACAUAGGAGGUGGAAGUGGAAACGAUCAAGUGCCGCGCGAACUGCAGGGUUACGUACUCCGAUGCUAUUUUCUUGUGCCGUCGCAAACACGAUUACCUUACGUACGAAACGCAGGCAUUAAAAGACGCCUAAGCCACAUUACUGUUACAUAAAAGACGCAAUAACGAGAUAAAGUAUAAAUUGACGCAAAUUCGAAAUAUUUUCGGAGUUACAGAAGAAAUAGUGAGCAAGCGUCGAGCAGGUAUACGAGCGGUUUUUUGAAGUUUUCAACCAGUUUUUUGACGAGUCUGAACCAGUUUUUUGAAGUUUUGAACCAGUUUUUUGAAGAGUCAGAAGGGCAACUCUAUGGACCAGGAAUCGCUGAUUAGCAUAAUAAUGCGAUGGAAAUUGCGACCUGCACCUUUCCCGCCGCACGACAAAUGCAUACUCGAGACGCCUCGGUGAAAUGAUUGUACCAGGCAUAAUAUGACAUGUAUCCUAAUGAAAAAAUUCGAGAAGACUGUUGAAAUACAUAACAAUAAACCCUGAAAG